rnacentral:lncRNA from 1 species
CACAAAUUGAAACAGAUACAGUAAAUUGCUUAGGAAUUUCUGUGCUUGUAGAAACGUUUGACAGUGCUUUUCUCAUAGGAGAAAAAAUGUUUUAUCUAGUAACUUAUUUUUCCAGUUUCUGACAUCAAGUGGAUUGUUACUGAAAUCUAUUGUUUGUUACUUAAAGACAGUAGGAUAUAUUUAAAACAGCUGUGUGCUGGGUGAUGUGUGCAUAACAACCUAUAACAGUAUAUAGUUACAACAUACUGUUGUGUUACUUGGAGACAUGUAGACCAUAAGGUUGCGUAUUAGGUCUGUCUCUCAAAAACCAGCAAUCAGUAUUUUUCUGACAGGUGGCUGAAUCAUGGCAGAAACUAAUAGAAGUGAAACAGGAGGAAGGUGCAGAAAAGGCAGAGCUUCAUCAACUUUGGAAGAAGAUGAUCCAGUUACUGAAAGACAGCACACAGAACCAGGAUAAAAAGCCUGAGCAGUUGGUUUGCAGAAGACUAGCCAGUGUCCAGCAGCAUAGCACUAUUUUGCAGAGAACAGAUGAAAAUUCACAAACACAGGAAUGCUGUCCUCCUCUGUCCUGUAAUCAAGUGCAGCAGCUCAGAGGGGUCCCUGUCUCCUACACUCAAACCCCAGUUCUUGCCUUGGCACUCUGACCUGUGACAAAACUCCCCCAUCCAUCACCUUUGGGCAAGUCUGCAUCACAAAUUUUCUGGACUCCAAACUUUGGACCCAAGGCUGCAGAAACACCGGGUUUUUGUGCUCUUGGGGGGACACAUCCACGCCCCAGCACGAUGCUGCCUGUUGCAAGGCAGGGAAAUUAUACUGCCCUCAUACUGCGUCCACAGAGGCAGAGGGAGCUCACAGGUUGAAGCACGGACUUCUACAAUAAUCCAGGAAUGCAUCAAGACCCUCCGAACACCCCAGUACUGCCAGGUAGUUUCUCAGUUUUGUUUUUCUUACUUUAAAAAUGGCAUCUAAAGCUACCAAAAGCAACAACAUCACAAUCAUAUUGCUAGGUUGUGAUAAGUGGAAUUCAGAUGAAAUUUAAUUUAUGCUUAAAAUUUUGCCUGAUUUAUAUAACUAGAUGUUAUCAUGACAGUCUCAAUUCAUGUGUAGUCAUGUUUUCAAAUAAAAAUGUGAAAUAAAAGUAUCCCA